CCGUGAGGUUGUAAAGUCCUUUUCGGGGGGGGGAAUGAGGUCCGCAGGGAAUGGCGGGCCGAUGACGUGAACCCCGGAAUAAGCCCCGGCUAACUACGUGCCAGCAGCCGCGGUAACACGUAGGGGGCGAGCGUUGUUCGGAAUCAUUGGGCGUAAAGGGCGCGCAGGCGGCGAGGCAAGUCCGGUGUGAAAGUGCUCGGCUCAACCGAGUGAUGCGCUGGAAACUGCCCUGCUUGAGUACAGGAGGGGACGUCGGAAUUCCAGGUGUAGGGGUGAAAUCUGUAGAUAUCUGGAAGAACACCGGUGGCGAAGGCGGACGUCUGGCCAUGUACUGACGCUGAGGCGCGAAGGUGCGGGGAGCGAACAGGUUUAGAUACCCUGGUAGUCCGCACAGUAAACGAUGUGCACCAGGUGGCGGGGGGUAGCCCUCGGUACCGAAGCCAACGCAUUAAGUGCACCGCCUGGGGAGUAUGCUCGCAAGGGUGAAACU
rnacentral:rRNA from 1 species